UUUUUACCAAAUAAGAAUAUUUUUCACAAAGAAUAAUACACAAUACACCAUGUGGUUCAUCGACCUUUAAAUUAAUAAAUAAUAGUAAUAAAAAUAAAAGAAUAAAUACACAAGUCAAAGGGGAUGUGAACAUUUUAUGUACAAGGAUUCCCUCUUUCAGUUCCAGCUUGCAAAAUUAGGAAAAUUUUCCUUUCAAGUAGCAAAACAGCAGAGCAGUUAAUAGAAGGCUCAGAAUCUAACUGGAAGAGUUCUUCCUACCAGUGUAGGCAUGAAAAGCUGCCACCCCCAAAACAGCGAAAGCAGCCCCAACUGACAUAAACAGAAGAGAGUGACUGAUGAGUUGGUGAAAGUGCUUGCGUUUCCUACCAGCCUCAGUUUUAGGAAUGUUCGAAUGA
rnacentral:misc_RNA from 1 species